GAUCGAACCAAUCGCUGCUCGCAUGUCCUUUCAUGGUAAAGUACAUCUAGUCAUGAACACGGAAAUACGCAGCAAAACCUUGUUACUCAAAGACCCAGCUACUCUCUGACAGUCACCAUCAGACCAUCAGACCACCAGAUGGACAGGCUGUGGGUCACUCUGAUUGCAUUCUUAUGUGCUGUUUUUUCCAGUCAGUUCAUCCUAACACUGUUCCUCUGCUACCUGUAGGUGCUGUUUCCUCCAGUCAGUUCAUCCUAACACUGUUCCUCUGCUACCUGUAGGUGCUGUUUCCUCCAGUCAGU
rnacentral:lncRNA from 1 species